CACGCAGGCGGUUUGUUAAGUCAGAUGUGAAAUCCCCGGGCUCAACCUGGGAACUGCAUCUGAUACUGGCGAGCUUGAGUCUCGUAGAGGGGGUAGAAUUCCAGGUGUAGCGGUGAAAUGCGUAGAGAUCUGGAGGAAUACCGGUGGCGAAGGCGGCCCCCUCGGACGAAGACUGACGCUCAGGUGCGAAAGCGUGGGAGCAAACA
rnacentral:rRNA from 1 species